rnacentral:rRNA from 1 species
ACGGUCCUAAGGUAGCGAAAUUCCUUGUCGGGUAAGUUCCGACCCGCACGAAAGGUGUAACGAUUUGGGCACUGUCUCAACGAGGGACCCGGUGAAAUUGAAAUACCUGUGAAGAUGCAGGUUACCCGCGACUGGACAGAAAGACCCCAUGGAGCUUUACUGUAACCUGACAUUGGGUUUUGUUGUAUUACGUACAGGAUAGGUGGGAGGCUUAGAAGGCUGGACGCUAGUCUGGCUGGAGCCGGCGUUGGGAUACCACCCUUGAUACAACGGAAUUCUAACCGAGAGAGUAACGAAAUCCGGGACAGUGUCAGGCGGGCAGUUUGACUGGGGCGGUCGCCUCCGAAAGAGUAACGGAGGCGCCCAAAGGUUCCCUCAGCGCGGCCGGAAAUCGCGCGAAGAGUGUAAAGGCAGAAGGGAGCUUGACUGCGAGCCAAACACGGCGAGCAGGUACGAAAGUAGGGCUUAGUGAUCCGGUGGUACCGAGUGGAAGGGCCAUCGCUCAACGGAUAAAAGCUACCCUGGGGAUAACAGGCUAAUCUCUCCCAAGAGUCCAUAUCGACGGGGAGGUUUGGCACCUCGAUGUCGGCUCAUCACAUCCUGGGGCUGAAGUCGGUCCCAAGGGUUGGGCUGUUCGCCCAUUAAAGUGGUACGUGAGCUGGGUUCAGAACGUCGUGAGACAGUUCGGUCCCUAUCCAUCGCGGGCGUAAGAGAUUUGAAGGGGGCUGCUCCUAGUACGAGAGGACCGGAGUGGACGGACCGCUGGUGUACCAAUUAUCCUGCCAAGGGUAUAGUUGGGUAGCUACGUCCGGAACGGAUAAACGCUGAAAGCAUCUAAGCGUGAAACCAUCCUUAAGAUGAGAUCUCUCAUAGAGUAAUCUAGUAAGACACCUUGAAGAUUACAAGGUUGAUAGGCAGGAUGUGUAAGCACAGCAAUGUGUUAAGCUGACCUGUACUAAUAUGU